CGACUGAGCCAGAGGCUGCUGCUACGGACAGCAGGAAUCCUUUGUCUUGGAGAAUAUCAGCGUUUAGUCUCUUCAUGUUGCCGCUGACAGCUGAUGAAUACUUGUCAGAGGGAGAUACUAUCAAUCUGUCACUGAUUUCUGAGGUGAAAUCGGCUGAAACGAAAACAAAAGUAUCGGUAACUCCAGCAAUAUAAAAAGAGGCAGUGCUUCCCAUCCUGCCCACCAGAUUUUAUCUCAUCCGAAUGGAGCUUCCUAGCUCGCUAGUUACACACAGAUAAAUGUGCAGCCCAACCAAUUUAGGAGAGCUGUAAUAACCUGUUGACGAAGAGCAACCGUCAGGUGGAAGAAUUAAAGCAGCCAUCUAAAAAAAGUAGCUGCUCCGAAUCAGUUGUGCAGCCCUGCAGGCGUGCAAAGGCAGAGGAAGAACCUGGAGUUAGGAAGCCAUUGAUGUGUAACAGUGUGCAUCUACAGGUUAUGUUUAUAUGCAUGUGCUCUCUUUGAACGACUGUCUGGAGGACAGUACAACUCUUUUAUCAGGCAGUGACGAAAUAAUUGCAGCUUCAGACAUUUCUGGGUAAAUGAAAGUACAGGAUUAUUAAAAAAGAAGAUUUUAAUUAAAGAAGAGACAUGAACUCAUCCACUCCUCUAAUCAAUCUGUGGAAAGCCCAGUUAGAGACCACCUGUCUCUCCGUGGAAAGAUGCCAGAGGCUGAGAGCACCACUCACAGCCCCCUCACCACUUAUGAAGUGUGGCCUGGAACGCCAAGCUCAGUGUGAAAGUUCUCCUAACCCUUGCGGCGGGAUAGAGCAAAAGACGGAAUUCAUUUCAUGCGAUUUUACUUAUUCAUUCCACCGCCACCUUCCUCCUUCCCCGCGCUCCGAGUCAGAAGUCAUCACAGAGAACCUGAGUCCCAUUUUACAGUGAUCUGCUAU